rnacentral:snRNA from 1 species
AUCGCUUCUCGGCCUUUUGGCUAAGAUCAAAGUGUAGUAUCUGUUCUUAUCAGCUUAAUCUCUGAUACGACGCUCAUUGAGUGUCUCUCAGUAGAUUAAACCGAUUUUUGGGAACAGGAUGGGUCGUGAAGCUUGCUUCCGCCUGUCGCGGGUUGGCCCGGUAUUGCAGUACCGCCGGGAUCGGCCCAAUAAUU